rnacentral:sRNA from 1 species
UAUGGCUGUGUUCGUGUCCCCCAGAAA